GGACCAUUAACUCAAUUGGUUAGAGUGGACGGCUCAUAACCGUUAUGUUCCGGGUUCAAGUCCUGGAUGGUCCACCA
rnacentral:tRNA from 1 species